ACUCCUGCACCUAUUUUCUAUUGAUCCCCUAUCUCGCUGUUCCUGUCCUCAUUAGCACGUGGUACUGAAAGCUAUCCAGAGAUAACCGCCCUAGAAGUCUGGCAUUUCAAUCUUCUUCCCAACUCUCUGAAGUCAUGUUGGAGAACCU